UACGUAGGGUGCAAGCGUUGCCCGGAUUUAUUGGGCGUAAAGGGCGCGUAGGCGGCUCUGCACGUCCGUUGUGAAAUCGCCCGGCUCAACUGGGCGGGGUCAGCGGAUACGGCAGAGCUUGAGCAAGCUAGGGGGCAAUGGAAUUCCCGGUGUAGUGGUGGAAUGCGUAGAUAUCGGGAGGAACACCAGUGGCGAAGGCGGGUCUCUGGACAGUUCCUGACGCUGAGGCACGAAGGUCAGGGGAGCAAACGGG
rnacentral:rRNA from 1 species